UAGCUAGUUGGUGGGGUAAAGGCCUACCAAGGCGACGAUCGGUAGCUGUUCUGAGAGGAAGAUCAGCCACACUGGGACUGAGACACGGCCCAGACUCCUACGGGAGGCAGCAGUGGGGAAUAUUGGACAAUGGGGGGAACCCUGAUCCAGCAAUGCCGCGUGUGUGAAGAAGGCCUGAGGGUUGUAAAGCACUUUCAGUGGGGAGGAGGUUUGAUUGGUUAAGAGCUGAUUGAAUGGACGUUACCCACAGAAGAAGCACCGGCUAACUCCGUGCCAGCAGCCGCGGUAAUACGGAGGGUGCGAGCGUUAAUCGGAAUUACUGGGCGUAAAGGGUGCGUAGGCGGUUGUUUAAGUUAUCUGUGAAAUCCCUGGGCUCAACCUGGGCAGGUCAGAUAAUACUGAAUAACUCGAGUAUAGGAGAGGGUAGUGGAAUUUCCGGUGUAGCGGUGAAAUGCGUAGAGAUCGGAAGGAACACCAGUGGCGAAGGCGGCUACCUGGCCUGAUACUGACACUGAGGCACAAAAGCGUGGGGAGCAAGCAGGAUUAGAUACCCUGGUAGUCCACGCUGUAAACGAUGUCAACUAGCUGUUGGUUAUAUGAAUAUAAUUAGUGGCGC
rnacentral:rRNA from 1 species